rnacentral:rRNA from 1 species
CAAGACUCCUACGGGAGGCAGCAGUGAGGAAUAUUGGUCAAUGGGCGCGAGCCUGAACCAGCCGAGUCGCGUGAGGGAAGACGGUCCUAUGGAUUGUAAACCUCUUUUGUCGGGGAGCAAAAGACGCCACGUGUGGCGUUCCGAGAGUACCCGAAGAAAAAGCAUCGGCUAACUCCGUGCCAGCAGCCGCGGUAAUACGGAGGAUGCGAGCGUUAUCCGGAUUUAUUGGGUUUAAAGGGUGCGCAGGCGGAGGUGCAAGUCAGCGGUCAAAUUGCGGGGCUCAACCCCGUCCUGCCGUUGAAACUGCAUCCCUUGAGUGCGCGAGAAGUAUGCGGAAUGCGUGGUGUAGCGGUGAAAUGCAUAGAUAUCGCGCAGAACUCCGAUUGCGAAGGCAGCAUGCCGGCUCCACACUGACGCUGAGGCACGAAAGCGUGGGUAUCGAACAGGAUUAGAUACCCGCGUA